rnacentral:tRNA from 1 species
UGGGGAGUCGCCAAGUGGUAAGGCAGUAGCCUCUGGAGCUACCAUUCGAAGGUUCGAAUCCUUCCUCCCCAACCA